GAUGAACGCUGGCGGCGUGCCUAAUACAUGCAAGUCGAGCGAACAGACGAGGAGCUUGCUCCUCUGACGUUAGCGGCGGACGGGUGAGUAACACGUGGAUAACCUACCUAUAAGACUGGGAUAACUUCGGGAGACCGGAGCUAAUACCGGAUAAUAUAUUGAACCGCAUGGUUCAAUAGUGAAAGACGGUUUUGCUGUCACUUAUAGAUUGAUCCGCGCCGCAUUAGCUAGUUGGUAAGGUAAAGGCUUACCAAGGCAACGAUGCGUAGCCGACCUGAGCGGGUGAUCGGCCACACUGGAAGUGAGACACGGUCCAGACUCCUACGGGAGGCAGCAGUAGGGAAUCUUACGCAAGGGGCGAGAGCCUGACGGAGCAACGCCGCGGGAGUGAUGAAGGUCUUCGGAUCGGAAAACUAUGUUAGUAGGGAAGAAGAAAUGUGUAAGUAACUGGGCACGUCUUGACGGUACCGAAUGAGAAAGCCACGGCUAACUACGUG
rnacentral:rRNA from 1 species